rnacentral:lncRNA from 1 species
GGAGCCUGUUGCAUCAAGGCCUGGGGUGGCAGGUGCUUUCCCAGGGGCUGUCUGCUAUGUGCCUGUGCCAGCCCCUUGUCCUGCUGGGCUCUGCCCAGGGAGCAGGGCAGCCCAGGUCUCCCAAAACUCUGCCCUGCAGGCUUCACACAUACCCAGCCGCCAUGUCUGCAUUCCACAUUAUUAGCAGGAUUGUGCUCAGGACUGCGGGAGGCAGCGGUUCUUGUCCAAGAGGGUGUUAUGGAUUUGCGGCAGGGGACCUGUGGCAGUUGGUACUUGAUGAUGAUUACUGCAUCCAAAGAUGCACAAAUGGUAGCUGCCUAUUCCCAGAGUUGGGUGUCACCCCGAGCAGCCCAUCUGCUUUGAUGAUGCUUUAAGGACAACACCGUCAAACCCAUACUGGUAGACCCCUCACCAGUGUCCUGUGGAGAUAUUCAUGAAAAUUUAGCAACUUUGAAAAAGAAGGAUGUUGAACUGUCAUGAGCUGGUUGGUACUGACAGAAGGAGCACUUUAAGCAUUAAAGCUAUUGCAGGGGAGAAUCUUCUGAGCCCAGUGGUAGAAAUGCACUGAUAGCAGUUUUCCCUUGGAGCUCACCAUACUGGCCAGGACUGAGUUGCAGUUCUGGGGACUUCUGGGGGGAAGAAACUCACAAAUAAACUGAAUGUGAGGCAUUCA